AACCUUUGCUGUCUUGGGACGGAUCACCACUGCAAGAGGGGAAGUUGCUACUGUGAUGAAUUCUGCCAUGUGGCACCAGACUGCCACCCAGACCACAGUGUCCUCUGCAACCCUGGUAACUCACAUACAGGCCCGAUUCCACCGACAGCAAAGCUGGAUGCUAUGGCUGGCAGAGGCAAACCCUUUGCCUGCACUUCAGGCCAAAGCCGGGAUGUGGCCUAGAUGGUUCCUAAGGUCCCUGACAAUCCUGAGAUCUUGCAUCUUGUCUAUUUCAGGUCAAAGGUGCCUACAUGCUCCUUCUAGCUUUGUUUCCCUGAUGUUCCUUGCCACCUGCUACUCCUCUCUGAGCUACUUUUCCAGGUUCCACAGGGAGAGGUUCAGCUGUCCGUGGUAGACAUGAGGGUAGAGAGUGAGGUGGUUGGGUUCCACUUACCUUUCUAUCAUCUUGCAGUAUGGAUGUCUCUUGACUGGUACCGUGUAGACUUUUGAGGGCACACAGGAGUCUGCAGAGAGAUACUGGGGACAUUGAGCAGCAGCAGUGGGGUUGGGAGGCAGAAAUGAGGACAGGAACAUUUACCUUGUGUUUCUCUCAGCUUCUCAGAUGACCAAGAUGGUGCUGCAGAUGGUGCUGAGGAUGGAGAACCCACCAAGCCCCGCUAGGAGCCACCUAGACUGGAUGCAGAGCAUGUGAUGAGAGGAGAGACGGCAGACCUG
rnacentral:misc_RNA from 1 species